AACGAACGCUGGCGGCAUGCCUAACACAUGCAAGUCGAACGAGACCUUCGGGUAUAGUGGCGCACGGGUGCGUAACGCGUGGGAACCUGCCCUUGGGUUCGGAAUAACUCCCCGAAAGGGGUGCUAAUACCGGAUAAUGUCUUAGGACCAAAGAUUUAUCGCCUUUGGAUGGGCCCGCGUUGGAUUAGCUGGUUGGUAGGGUAAAAGCCUACCAAGGCGACGAUCCAUAGCUGGUCUGAGAGGAUGAUCAGCCACACCGGGACUGAGACACGGCCCAGACUCCUACGGGAGGCAGCAGUGGGGAAUAUUGGACAAUGGGCGGUAGCCUGAUCCAGCAAUGCCGCGUGAGUGAUGAAGGCCUUAGGGUUGUAAAGCUCUUUUACCCGGGAUGAUAAUGACAGUACCGGGAGAAUAAGCUCCGGCUAACUCCGUG
rnacentral:rRNA from 1 species